CAUUAACCUUCUUCCUCUUCCUCAAGCUUCAUUCUGACACAACAUCGUCACCAUGAUCUGGUAUGGUUUGUUUGCUCAACCUAUGGAAUUUGUGACUUCUAUGUUGUUUAUUAACAUGAUUAUUUUUUUCAGAUCUAAUGCUUCCAUGGUAGGGUUUUGAUUUCGUUGUCUGUGUGGUCGGAGUUGAAUCACAUACGACGAAGAAGACGCUGAUUUUCCUCAGAUUUUAGAGAUAUCCAGAGCGGUUCGUUGAUCGAACCUUUUCAGAUCCCCUUUUCAUAUGGUCACUACUAUCCAUACCAUUGAUCUGUAGCGGCAUCAACGGGUUACCGACGAUUAGUGUGGU